rnacentral:rRNA from 1 species
UACGUAGGGUGCGAGCGUUGCCCGGAUUUAUUGGGCGUAAAGCGCGCGUAGGUGGCUUCGUAAGUCCGUUGUGAAAGUCAAAGGCUCAACCUUUGAAAGCCGAUGGAUACUGUGAAGCUAGAGUACGGAAGAGGCGAGUGGAAUUCCUGGUGUAGCGGUGGAAUGCGCAGAUAUCAGGAGGAACACCAAUAGCGAAGGCAGCUCGCUGGGACGUUACUGACACUGAGGCGCGAAAGCGUGGGGAGCGAACAGG